GCGGGGGUCGCCAAGCCUGGUCAAAGGCGCAGGGCUUAGGACCCUGUCCCGUAGGGGUUCGUGGGUUCAAAUCCCACCCCCCGCAC
rnacentral:tRNA from 1 species